AUUGAACGCUGGCGGCAGGCCUAACACAUGCAAGUCGAGCGGAUGAAGGGAGCUUGCUCCUGGAUUCAGCGGCGGACGGGUGAGUAAUGCCUAGGAAUCUGCCUGGUAGUGGGGGAUAACGUCCGGAAACGGGCGCUAAUACCGCAUACGUCCUGAGGGAGAAAGUGGGGGAUCUUCGGACCUCACGCUAUCAGAUGAGCCUAGGUCGGAUUAGCUAGUUGGUGGGGUAAAGGCCUACCAAGGCGACGAUCCGUAACUGGUCUGAGAGGAUGAUCAGUCACACUGGAACUGAGACACGGUCCAGACUCCUACGGGAGGCAGCAGUGGGGAAUAUUGGACAAUGGGCGAAAGCCUGAUCCAGCCAUGCCGCGUGUGUGAAGAAGGUCUUCGGAUUGUAAAGCACUUUAAGUUGGGAGGAAGGGCAGUAAGUUAAUACCUUGCUGUUGUGACGUGACCAACAGAAUAAGCACCGGCUAACUUCG
rnacentral:rRNA from 1 species